rnacentral:lncRNA from 1 species
AUGCAGGAGGAAGCUCAGGAGUCAUCGCAGACUGACAGAACAUCUGUGACGAUCGCAGGACGUCACCCCGUCAACUGGAUGUGCUGCAGUUCUCUCAAAGAUGCACACGUUGGUGCUCGGACAGGGAUCCAGGUUGUUUUAAGGCUUCCAGCUUCAGAGGCGAAGCUCCAUCUGAUCAAUAAUGGAUGCUGCUGUCUCCUACACUGCUGGAGAAGGGUCGGCACAUUAGGUAAUGCAGGGGCUACAUUUAACUGGAUGGGCUUGUUAAUGCGUCCCGCUGGGGAAACACCCUCCCUACGCCAUCCCCUCUCCCCCUUCUCUCUCUCACACACACACACACACACACACACACAGAAAUACACUUGCACACGCUAA